rnacentral:rRNA from 1 species
UACGGGGAGCAAGCGUUGUUCGGAUUUACUGGCGUAAAGGCGCGUAGGCGGCCAGCACAAGUCAGUUGUGAAAUCUCCGAGCUUAACUCGGAAAGGUCAACUGAUACUGUGCGGCUAGAGUGCGGAAGGGCAACUGGAAUUCUUGGUGUAGCGGUGAAAUGCGUAGAUAUCAAGAGGAACACCUGCGGCGAAGGCGGGUUGCUGGCCGACACUGACGCUGAGGCGCGAAAGCGUGGGAGCGAACAGG